rnacentral:rRNA from 1 species
UACGUAAGGUGCGAGCGUUGUCCGGAAUUAUUGGGCGUAAAGGGCUCGUAGGCGGUUUGUCGCGUCGGGAGUGAAAACCAGGUGCUUAACACCUGGCUUGCUUUCGAUACGGGCAGACUAGAGGUAUUCAGGGGAGAACGGAAUUCCUGGUGUAGCGGUGAAAUGCGCAGAUAUCAGGAGGAACACCGGUGGCGAAGGCGGUUCUCUGGGAAUGACCUGACGCUGAGGAGCGAAAGUGUGGGGAGCGAACAGG